AUUGAACGCUGGCGGCAGGCUUAACACAUGCAAGUCGAGCGGAGAUGAGGUGCUUGCACCUUAUCUUAGCGGCGGACGGGUGAGUAAUGCUUAGGAAUCUGCCUAUUAGUGGGGGACAACAUUCCGAAAGGAAUGCUAAUACCGCAUACGUCCUACGGGAGAAAGCAGGGGAUCUUCGGACCUUGCGCUAAUAGAUGAGCCUAAGUCGGAUUAGCUAGUUGGUGGGGUAAAGGCCUACCAAGGCGACGAUCUGUAGCGGGUCUGAGAGGAUGAUCCGCCACACUCGGACUUGGACACGGCCCAGACUGCUACGGGAGGCAGCAUUGGGGAAUAUUGGACAAUGGGGGGAACCCUGAUCCAGCCAUGCCGCGUGUGUGAAGAAGGCCUUAUGGUUGUAAAGCACUUUAAGCGAGGAGGAGGCUACUGAGACUAAUACUCUUGGAUAGUGGACGUUACUCGCAGAAUAAGCACCGGCUAACUCUGUGCCAGCCGCCGCCGUAA
rnacentral:rRNA from 1 species